rnacentral:rRNA from 1 species
CCUGUACACACGGAUAACAUACCGAAAGGUAUGCUAAUACGAGAUAAAAUACUUUUAUCGCAUGGUAGAAGUAUCAAAGCUUUUGCGGUACAGGAUGGACCCGCGUCUGAUUAGCUAGUUGGUAAGGUAACGGCUUACCAAGGCGACGAUCAGUAGCCGACCUGAGAGGGUGAUCGGCCACAUUGGAACUGAGACACGGUCCAAACUCCUACGGGAGGCAGCAGUGGGGAAUAUUGCACAAUGGGCGAAAGCCUGAUGCAGCAACGCCGCGUGAGCGAUGAAGGCCUUCGGGUCGUAAAGCUCUGUCCUCAAGGAAGAUAAUGACGGUACUUGAGGAGGAAGCCCCGGCUAACUACGUGCCAGCAGCCGCGGUAAUACGUAGGGGGCUAGCGUUAUCCGGAAUUACUGGGCGUAAAGGGUGCGUAGGUGGUUUCUUAAGUCAGAGGUGAAAGGCUACGGCUCAACCGUAGUAAGCCUUUGAAACUGGGAAACUUGAGUGCAGGAGAGGAGAGUGGAAUUCCUAGUGUAGCGGUGAAAUGCGUAGAUAUUAGGAGGAACACCAGUUGCGAAGGCGGCUCUCUGGACUGUAACUGACACUGAGGCACGAAAGCGUGGGGAGCAAACAGGAUUAGAUACCCUGGUAGUCCACGCCGUAAACGAUGAGUACUAGCUGUCGGAGGUUACCCCCUUCGGUGGCGCAGCUAACGCAUUAAGUACUCCGCCUGGGAAGUACGCUCGCAAGAGUGAAACUCAAAGGAAUUGACGG